UCAAAAAAAAAAAAAAAAAUCAAUCCUUCAAAUCUAAAAGCUUAUGUGUGCUUUUGAAAGCUCUGGAGGUGAACUGGAAAUGGGUGAGACUCCUGUCCGUACUCCAGAAAAGAAAAUUGGAGAAAGCGAACGACUGAUCCUUUAGAAGGAGAUUUAAAUGACCACAAUGUCCUUGAGCAAAUCAGGUUAAUUAACAUAAUAUAACUCUAACGGAU
rnacentral:misc_RNA from 1 species